rnacentral:rRNA from 1 species
AUUGAACGCUGGUGGCAUGCUUAACACAUGCAAGUCGAACGGUAACAGGUCUAGCUUGCUAGAUGCUGACGAGUGGCGGACGGGUGAGUAACGCGUGGGAAUCUGCCUUCUAGUGGGGGAUAGCCCGGAGAAAUCCGGAUUAAUACCGCAUACGCCCUACGGGGAAAGCCGGGGAGUCUUCGGACCUGGCGCUAGUAGAUGAGCCCGCGUGAGAUUAGCUUGUUGGUGGGGUAAUGGCCUACCAAGGCAACGAUCUCUAGCUGGUCUGAGAGGACGAUCAGCCACACUGGGACUGAGACACGGCCCAGACUCCUACGGGAGGCAGCAGUGGGGAAUAUUGGACAAUGGGCGAAAGCCUGAUCCAGCAAUGCCGCGUGUGUGAAGAAGGCCUGAGGGUUGUAAAGCACUUUCAAUCGUGAAGAAAAGUUAGCAGGCUAAUACCCUGUGACCUUGACGUUAACGAUACAAGAAGCACCGGCUAACUCCGU